rnacentral:lncRNA from 1 species
AGAGGACUGUUGAUUCCUCUACUUCUCAGACUCAACAGGCUGAAAAUCCUGUUACAUAUAAUAAAGAAGAUCAGACACAGCAGACUGAUAAUUCUGCUACUAGACUUAUUAGCCCAAUAGAUCUUAAACAGAAAAGCCCAAUUAAUUUUCCAGGAUUAUUCCAAUCAGCUCAAGAUCCAGACCAAAUUUCUCAAUCAGAUAUUAGAAAGAUUAAAGAGAUGUUUGAAAAGAUUGAAGAAAUUCAGCAACAAGUUAAACAAAGUACUACGAAGAAAAAGAAACUACAAAUUAAAAAGAAAAACAAAGGAAAAAAGAAGAUUGAACAAGACAGAGAUUUGGAUGAAUUCAAAGAUAAUAAUUCAGAAGAUAACCCAGAAGACUUUACUGACGGAGGAGAUUCUUUAGAUAGUAUUGACAGACACAAUUAUGCAACAAGAUAAGAGAAUUUUCAGACAGGUGUAAAGAAUCAAUCAGACAGCUGGAGAAAAGACAAGAAGUCUCUAGAAAAAGAAUAUAUUGAUUGAAGAUUUUUGUCCAGACGUCAAGACUUUUGAAGAUUUUUUACUAUUUACUUUUUGAAAAAUCUGUAAAAGAAUCUUACUAUUUUAUAAAGUAAGAUUUGAUAGGAUAGUUUUUACUAUUUACUUUUUGACGUUUUGAAAAAAGCAAAGAUUCCUUGCUUUUAGCUAACGUCUAUCUUAUCUUUUCUCUCCUAUAAAAGGAGAUCAUUCUUUCAUUUGUAAAAACACGGAAGAACAUAUAUACAAUACAAGUUUCUAAUUCUCUCAAAUAUGUUCUGAUUUUCCUUCUUUUCCGAAAGGGAAAUUCUUAAUUGUUCUUAUUCUUAGAUGAAAUAAUAUCCCAC